UACUCCCUCCGUUUCACAAUGUAAGUUAUUCUAACAUUUCCUACAUUUAUAUUAAUGUUAAUGAAUCUAGACAUCAUUAACAUCAAUAUGUCUAGAUUUAUUAACAUCAAUAUGAAUGUGAGAAAUGUUAGAAUAACUUACAUUGUGAAACGGAUGAAGUA
rnacentral:miRNA from 1 species